rnacentral:sRNA from 1 species
UACAAAAUACAGAGGGAACCGAAGUCC